AGAGUUUGAUCAUGGCUCAGAACGAACGCUGGCGGCGUGGAUAAGACAUGCAAGUCGAGCGCUGAUUACAGAGUAGCAAUAUUCUGUAGUCGGAGCGGCGCAAGGGUGCGUAACACGUGGGUAAUCUGCCAUGAAGUUUGGGAUAACUCGCUGAAAGGCGAGCUAAUACCGAAUGUGACGAUUGGAAGGCAUCCUCUGAUCUUCAAAGUUGGGGACCGUAAGGCCUGACGCUUCAUGAUGAGCCCGCGGCCUAUCAGCUAGUUGGUGAGGUAACGGCUCACCAAGGCUAAGACGGGUAGCUGGUCUGAGAGGACGACCAGCCACACUGGAACUGAGACACGGUCCAGACACCUACGGGUGGCAGCAGUCGAGAAUUUUUCACAAUGGGGGAAACCCUGAUGGAGCGACGCCGCGUGGGGGAUGAAUGGCUUCGGCCCGUAAACCCCUGUCAUUUGCGAACAAAUUGGUUCAAUUAACACCUGAGCCAUUGAUAGUAGCGGAAGAGGAAGGGACGGCUAACUCUGUGCCAGCAGCCGCGGUAAUACAGAGGUCCCAAGCGUUGUUCGGAUUCACUGGGCGUAAAGGGUGCGUAGGCGGUCGGGUAAGUCUGAUGUGAAAUCUCACAGCUUAACUGUGAAACUGCAUUGGAUACUAUUCGGCUUGAGGUCUGGAGGGGGGACUGGAAUUCUCGGUGUAGCAGAGAAAUGCGUAGAUAUCGAGAGGAACACCAGUGGCGAAGGCGAGUCCCUGGACAGAUCCUGACGCUGAGGCACGAAAGCUAGGGGAGCAAACAGGAUUAGAUACCCUGGUAGUCCUAGCUGUAAACGGUGCUUAUUUGCUGUAAAAGGAAUCGACCCCUUUUGUGGCGUAGCAAACGCGUUAAAUAAGCCGCCUGGAAGUACGGUCGCAGAUUAAACUCAAGAAACUGACGGGGCUGCACAGCGGUGGAGUAUGUGGCUUAAUUCGAUGCACGCGAAGAACCUUACCUGGUCU
rnacentral:rRNA from 1 species